ensembl:lncRNA
AUGGCGCAGGACUUUAUACCACAUGAUAACUAUAUACAGUUACAUCCCGUUAUUACGUCACCACCGUCCCGUUAUUACGUCACCAUCGUCCCGUUAUUAUGUCACCACCGUCCCGUUAUUACGUCACCAUCAUCCCAUUAUUACGUCACCACCAUCCCGUUAUUACGUCACCACCAUCCCGUUAUUACGUCACCAUCGUCCCGUUAUUAUGUCACCACCGUCCCGUUAUUACGUCACCAUCGUCCCGUUAUUACGUCGCCACCGUCCCGUUAUUACGUCACCACCGUCCCGUUAUUACGUCACCAUCGUCCCGUUAUUACGUCACCACCGUCCCGUUAUUACGUCACCACCGUCCCGUUAUUACGUCACCAUCAUCCCAUUAUUACGUCACCACCAUCCUGUUAUUACGUCACCACCAUCCCGUUAUUACGUCACCAUCGUCCCGUUAUUACGUCGCCACCGUCCCGUUAUUACGUCACCACCGUCCCGUUAUUACGUCACCAUCGUCCCGUUAUUACGUCACCACCGUCCCGUUAUUACGUCACCACCGUCCCGUUAUUACGUCACCAUCAUCCCAUUAUUACGUCACCACCAUCCUGUUAUUACGUCACCACCAUCCCGUUAUUACGUCACCAUCGUCCCGUUAUUAUGUCACCACCGUCCCGUUAUUACGUCACCAUCGUCCCGUUAUUAUGUCACCACCGUCCCGUUAUUACGUCACCAUCAUCCCAUUAUUACGUCACCACCAUCCCGUUAUUACGUCACCACCAUCCCGUUAUUACGUCACCAUCAUCCCAUUAUUACGUCACCACCAUCCCGUUAUUACGUCACCAUCGUCCCGUUAUUAUGUCACCACCGUCCCGUUAUUACGUCACCACCGUCCCAUUAUUACGUCACCACCGUCCCGUUAUUACGUCACCAUCGUCCCGUUAUUAUGUCACCACCGUACCGUUAUUACGUCACCACCGUCCCAUUAUUACGUCACCACCAUCCCGUAUUACGUCACCAUCGUCCCGUUAUUACGUCGCCACCGUCCCGUUAUUACGUCGCCACCGUCCCGUUAUUACGUCGCCAUCGUCCCGUUAUUACGUCACCACCGUCCCGUUAUUACGUCGCCACCGUCCCGUUAUUACGUCGCCACCGUCCCGUUAUUACGUUGCCACCUCGCUUACAUCCCAGCCGUUUUAUACUCACAGGAUUGUGUUGCUUCGCCGUGAAGAAGCAGCUGUUUUACCGAACGAGUGCAACUCAUUGCUGUUGCAGUGUAACCUAAAUAAACCAGCUCUAGGAAAGGGACCAAAACUGUACUCAGUCAACAAAAGUGCUCAUGAAUAUUGUGUGUAA